GGGGAAUAUUGGACAAUGGGCGAAAGCCUGAUCCAGCAAUGCCGCGUGAGUGAUGAAGGCCCUAGGGUUGUAAAGCUCUUUUACCCGGGAUGAUAAUGACAGUACCGGGAGAAUAAGCCCCGGCUAACUCCGUGCCAGCAGCCGCGGUAAUACGGAGGGGGCUAGCGUUGUUCGGAAUUACUGGGCGUAAAGCGCGCGUAGGCGGCUUUGCAAGUUAGAGGUGAAAGCCCAGGGCUCAACCCUGGAACUGCCUUUAAAACUGCAUCGCUAGAACGUCGGAGAGGUAAGUGGAAUUCCGAGUGUAGAGGUGAAAUUCGUAGAUAUUCGGAAGAACACCAGUGGCGAAGGCGACUUACUGGACGACUGUUGACGCUGAGGUGCGAAAGCGUGGGGAGCAAC
rnacentral:rRNA from 1 species